rnacentral:rRNA from 1 species
CACGUAGGGGGCAAGCGUUGUCCGGAUUUAUUGGGCGUAAAGAGCUCGUAGGUGGUUCGGUAAGUCGGGUGUGAAACCUCCAGGCUCAACCUGGAGACGCCACCCGAUACUGCUGUGACUGGAGUCCGGUAGGGGAGCGUGGAAUUCCUGGUGUAGCGGUGAAAUGCGCAGAUAUCAGGAGGAACACCAGCGGCGAAGGCGGCGCUCUGGGCCGGUACUGACGCUGAGGAGCGAAAGCGUGGGAGCGAACAGG